rnacentral:rRNA from 1 species
UACGUAGGGUGCGAGCGUUAAUCGGAAUUACUGGGCGUAAAGCGUGCGCAGGCGGUUUGUUAAGACAGAUGUGAAAUCCCCGGGCUUAACCUGGGAACUGCAUUUGUGACUGGCAAGCUAGAGUAUGGCAGAGGGGGGUAGAAUUCCGACGUGUAGCAGUGAAAUGCGUAGAGAUGUGGAGGAAUACCGAUGGCGAAGGCAGCCCCCUGGGCCAAUACUGACGC